CUUUUAUAUCAUAAAAACAUAUUGCUCUUGAAUUUAAAUAUAUAUUUUAUGAAUCACUAUCAGAAUAACAAAAGGCCAUGCUAGUUUUCUUUUCAAAACACAAGUAAAUUGCACAAAAUGGAAAAAAACAACCUGUAAGAUUUCCCAAGAUAAGCUUGUAAAAGAAUAAUAAGAGAAUAAUAAGAGAUAUUUAAUUAAAACACCAUUUGUUGUCUGGUAAUGAAAUAUAAUUAACACAUAUAUUCAUUUUAGAAUGCACAGAAAAGCUCACAAGAUUUUUAAAAUGUAUAGAAGCCAUAUUUUUGGUACAUAGAUAUUUAUAUAUGUUACCUUAACUGAAUUAUACCCCUUAUACAACCAUAUACCCUUCUUUCCUAGUUUUAUAUUUGUCAUGAAUCCCAGGUUAUGUGAUUUUAAUAUAAUAUAUACACUCCUGGUUUCAAAUGAGAUCAUAUGUAUGCACUAUAUCUAUGUCUAUAUAAUAUAUAAUGUUUACAUAUGAAGUAAAUAUGGCAAAAUGCAAAAAAAUUACUAAAUCUAUUUUACACAUUAAAGUUUUCUUUAUUUUUUCAGUAUGCUUUGAAAUAUAUUACAAUAAAAGUACAUAACAUUAUAAAGACAAAUCGUUGCCAAUCUUGCUAUUGCUUUUUCUCUCUGUCUUCAAAAGGAUAAAGAAUGAAAACCAACAGAUUUUCUUAGCCAAGAGAGGAAAAUUUGGAAGACAUAAAAGAGAUAUUCCCAGAAUACUACACAAAGAACCAGGGGAUUGUGCAGCCUUGCUUCAGCCAGGAAGAGAUUGGAGAUGCUUCAUUCGCUCUUUGAAACAUGCAGACUGAUGCCCUCCGCAUGUGUUUGUAUUCAAAUACCAAUGAGCAAGGACGAUAGAACCAGUGUAAGAAAUGUUCCAAGUCAUCCAGGUGUCAAACAAACCAAUUAAAUUAAAGGCUAAAGGGAGCUUUUGGAAAUAAGAGCGUUCAACAACAGUUCCAGAAUAAAGGUUUUAAUUUUCUUGAGUGUUCUCGCA
rnacentral:lncRNA from 1 species